rnacentral:rRNA from 1 species
GUGACCUCAAAUCAGGUAGGACUACCCGCUGAACUUAAGCAUAUCAAUAAGCGGAGGAAAAGAAACUAACAAGGAUUCCCCUAGUAACUGCGAGUGAAGCGGGAAAAGCUCAAAUUUAAAAUCUGUCAGUCUUUGACUGUCCGAGUUGUAAUCUAGAGAAGUGUUAUCCGCGCUGGACCGUGUACAAGUCUCCUGGAAUGGAGCNUCAUAGAGGGUGAGAAUCCCGUCUUUGACACGGACUGCCAGGGCUUUGUGAUGCGCUCUCAAAGAGUCGAGUUGUUUGGGAAUGCAGCUCAAAAUGGGUGGUAAAUUCCAUCUAAAGCUAAAUAUUGGCGAGAGACCGAUAGCGAACAAGUACCGUGAGGGAAAGAUGAAAAGAACUUUGGAAAGAGAGUUAAACAGUACGUGAAAUUGCUGAAAGGGAAACGCUUGAAGUCAGUCGCGUUGUCCAGGGAUCAACCUUGCUUUUGCUUGGUGUACUUUCUGGUUGACGGGUCAGCAUCAAUUUUGACUGUUGGAAAAAGAUCAAGGGAAUGUGGCAUCUUUAGAUGUGUUAUAGCCCUUGGUUGCAUACAAUGGUUGGGAUUGAGGAACUCAGCACGCCGCAAGGCCGGGAUAUUAUCC